CCUACGGGAGGCAGCAGUGAGGAAUAUUGGUCAAUGGACGAGAGUCUGAACCAGCCAAGUAGCGUGAAGGAUGACUGCCCUAUGGGUUGUAAACUUCUUUUAUAUGGGAAUAAAAUGUUCCACGUGUGGGAUUUUGUAUGUACCAUAUGAAUAGGGAUCGGCUAACUCCGUGCCAGCAGCCGCGGUAAUACGGAGGAUCCGAGCGUUAUCCGGAUUUAUUGGGUGUAAAGGGAGAGUAGGUGGAUUGUUAAGUCAGUUGUGAAAGUUUGCGGCUCAACCGUAAAAUUGCAGUUGAAACUGGCAGUCUUGAGUACAGUAGAGGUGGGCGGAAUUCGUGGUGUAGCGGUGAAAUGCUUAGAUAUCACGAAGAACUCCGAUUGCGAAGGCAGUUCACUGGACUGCAACUGACACUGAGGCUCGAAAGUGUGGGUAUCAAACAGGAUUAGAUACCCUUGUAGUC
rnacentral:rRNA from 1 species